UUUUUUAAACCAUUUGGAGAGGGUAUUUUUGCCUUGUGAGGUAGCUUUUUUGUGAAGGAAGUCUUAAAGCUUUGCCCAGCCAGACUGUUGGUAACACUGUCCAAGCUUUCAAGUUUUGACUCGGUUGAAAACUUUCUGCAAAAGGUGGCUAUUGUUAG